GGGAGAGACAAGAGGAAAUCAUGGGAGGAGAUAAGCAACGAGCAGAUGUGUUUUAGAGGGAUGAUACGUCCUUUCCUCUCAAGCGUCACAUGGAUUCGUCAGCUGUUUGGGCGGAGUUAGCAACUCCUCCAGCUGCACGGCUUCCAGGAAGGCUGCUCUCUGUAUCCUCCUUGAUGCUCGCUCCCCGGGACAGAAAUAAGAGUUUUGAGACUCCCUUCACUGAAGAGGGACAGAACAACUUCCGGUUCA